CGUUCCUGCCGCGGCGCCCGGCGCCCGGCCAAUCUGGGGGAAAAAAAAGAAAGAAAGAAAAAGCAGCCGGGCACGAGCAGCGAAGAGACAGUGGCGCGCGGCGGACUUUCCUUUCGGGACGCCGCUCCGUUUAGCUGCACCGUACCUGAACCGCGAGGAGGGGAGGAAAGGCGUCGCCAGCAAUCACAUGGGCUCUGCUUCUGGUGCCAUUGGAUAGGGCCUGGCCAUUAGCUUCGCUCUGCGUUAAGACAAGCGAGGGAGCGAGAGCGUGAGCGUGAGUGAAAAAAAUGGUGGAGGUUUUCUUUUUCCUUCCUCCAGCAAGGCCUAAGAGGUAAGCUUGGGUCUUCGUCUAGAUUGCCUCGCCCGGUCUUUUCUCGCACUCCCUCGUCCAGCAUUUGAGCCCCGCCUGCACGGUUGUGCACUCACCCGGGGCUCCUGCGAGCUGAGCAAUCCUGUUCGGUAGGCCGGUGCUACUGUCCCUUUGUGGCAUGGAGGAAGGGGCGCUGAGCUUGUGAGAAAGUGAUUUGCCUUGACCGCUUGAAGCACAAAGCUCAGGUUUUGUGGGUGUUCGAAAGUAAGACAUUGUGUUCCGUGCGUCUUGCACUCAGGAGGCCCCCGCGUCUCUGCAGGACUGACCAAAAUGACUGAGUGAUUCUUGGGCUCGCUUCCUUCCCCAGCUUUCCCUGAUCCGCCAGGAAACUGCAGCUUUCAGCCACACUAGGAAAGAAGAGGGUGUAAAGAAGAGCGCGGCUCUGUCAGGUACGGAGGAGACGAAGCGGGAGACUGAAUAGCCAGCGGCCCCGUUUCUGCACGCGAGAGCGGCGGGGCUUCUGCCUGCCGAGUCAUUUAUUUCCCCCUUACUCCAAAGCCGCCUUUCA